AAUCUGCCCUUGGGUUCGGAAUAACUUCUGGAAACGGAAGCUAAUACCGGAUGAUGACGUAAGUCCAAAGAUUUAUCGCCCAAGGAUGAGCCCGCGUAGGAUUAGCUAGUUGGUGAGGUAAAGGCUCACCAAGGCUACGAUCCUUAGCUGGUCUGAGAGGAUGAUCAGCCACACUGGGACUGAGACACGGCCCAGACUCCUACGGGAGGCAGCAGUAGGGAAUAUUGGACAAUGGGCGAAAGCCUGAUCCAGCAAUGCCGCGUGAGCGAUGAAGGCCUUAGGGUUGUAAAGCUCUUUUACCCGGGAUGAUAAUGACAGUACCGGGAGAAUAAGCCCCGGCUAACUCCGUGCCAGCAGCCGCGGUAAUACGGAGGGGGCUAGCGUUGUUCGGAAUUACUGGGCGUAAAGCGCACGUAGGCGGCUAUUCAAGUCAGAGGUGAAAGCCCGGGGCUCAACCCCGGAAUUGCCUUUGAAACUAGAUAGCUUGAAUCCAGGAGAGGUGAGUGGAAUUCCGAGUGUAGAGGUGAAAUUCGUAGAUAUUCGGAAGAACACCAGUGGCGAAGGCGGCUCACUGGACUGGUAUGACGCUGAG
rnacentral:rRNA from 1 species